AUUGAACGCUGGCGGCAGGCCUAACACAUGCAAGUCGAACGGUAACAGGAAGACGCUUGCUUCUUUGCUGACGAGUGGCGGACGGGUGAGUAAUGUCUGGGAAACUGCCUGAUGGAGGGGGAUAACUACUGGAAACGGUAGCUAAUACCGCAUAAUGUCGCAAGACCAAAGAGGGGGACCUUCGGGCCUCUUGCCAUCGGAUGUGCCCAGAUGGGAUUAGCUAGUAGGUGGGGUAACGGCUCACCUAGGCGACGAUCCCUAGCUGGUCUGAGAGGAUGACCAGCCACACUGGAACUGAGACACGGUCCAGACUCCUACGGGAGGCAGCAGUGGGGAAUAUUGCACAAUGGGCGCAAGCCUGAUGCAGCUAUGCCGCGUGUAUGAAGAAGGCCUUCGGGUUGUAAAGUACUUUCAGCGGGGAGGAAGGGAGUAAAGUUAAUACCUUGGCUCAUUGACGUUACCCGCAGAAGAAGCACCGGCUAACUCCGUG
rnacentral:rRNA from 1 species